rnacentral:tRNA from 1 species
GCCGACGUAGCUCAAUGGUAGAGCAGCGGUCUUGUAAACCGCCGGCUAAGGGUUCAAAUCCCUUCGUCGGCU